AUUGAACGCUGGCGGCAGGCCUAACACAUGCAAGUCGAACGGUAACAGGAAACAGCUUGCUGUUUCGCUGACGAGUGGCGGACGGGUGAGUAAUGUCUGGGAAACUGCCUGAUGGAGGGGGAUAACUACUGGAAGCGGUAGCUAAUACCGCAUAACGUCGCAAGACCAAAGAGGGGGACCUUCGGGCCUCUUGCCAUCGGAUGUGCCCAGAUGGGAUUAGCUUGUUGGUGGGGUAACGGCUCACCAAGGCGCCGAUCCCUAGCUGGUCUGAGAGGAUGACCAGCCACACUGGAACUGAGACACGGUCCAGACUCCUACGGGAGGCAGCAGUGGGGAAUAUUGCACAAUGGGCGCAAGCCUGAUGCAGCCAUGCCGCGUGUAUGAAGAAGGCCUUCGGGUUGUAAAGUACUUUCAGCGGGGAGGAAGGGAGUAAAGUUAAUACCUUUGCUCAUUGACGUUACCCGCAGAAGAAGCACCGGCUAACUCCGUG
rnacentral:rRNA from 1 species